UCAAGAAUUAGUUUCUGAAUUAAUUGAAAGAAAGUGCCCACAGCCGGUAUAGUCUUUGUAUCGGAAAAUACUAUAGAAGGUUUGAAUGUUUGAAGCACCAAAAUUCUUGGAAUUAAAGAAGAUGAAAGUUCUCGGAUCAGAGUUAAUUUAAGGUUGAUCAUUGAACUUAGAUCACAUAAACCUGACCCAGAAAACCAUGAAGAAAAAUAAAAGAACAGCUCCAACCACAAUAGUCCGCCGAUGAAAACUCGGGUCUCUAAUUUCUUCAUCCGAACCCUGCCCAUAUUUACGAGUU